rnacentral:rRNA from 1 species
GACGAACGCUGGUGGCGUGCUCAACACAUGCAAGUCGAACGGGAUUUAGUAAACAGAAGCCUCGGUGGAAGAUUACUAAUGAGAGUGGCGAACGGGUGAGUAACGCGUGAGCAACCUGCCUAUGACAGUGGGAUAGCCUCGGGAAACCGGGAUUAAUACCGCAUAAAAUCGUAGAAACACAUGUUUUAACGGUCAAAGAUUUAUCGGUCAUAGAUGGGCUCGCGUCUGAUUAGCUAGUUGGUGAGAUAACAGCCCACCAAGGCGACGAUCAGUAGCCGGUCUGAGAGGAUGAACGGCCACAUUGGAACUGAGACACGGUCCAAACUCCUACGGGAGGCAGCAGUGGGGAAUAUUGCACAAUGGGGGAAACCCUGAUGCAGCGACGCCGCGUGAACGAAGAAGGUAUUCGUAUCGUAAAGUUCUGUCCUAUGGGAAGAUAAUGACAGUACCAUAGAAGAAAGCUCCGGCUAAAUACGUG